AACCCCUGAUGGUGGAUGCAUGUUAAUUCCUCGCAAGGAUGAAGGACUCCGGAUUUUUCUCCAUCCAGUAACUUGGAAGAAUGUAAAUGUAUUCAAGAAAUACAAUAACGAUUAACUCGUAUAAAAUUCUAAAUAGGAUAAUGAUAAUGACAAUUUCCUAUUUAUAAGUCUUGACCAAAUUACGUGCCAGCAGUCGCGGUAAUACGUAGAAGACUAGUGUUAGUCAUCUUUAUUAGGUUUAAAGGGUACCUAGACGGUAAAUUAAACUCUAAAUGAGUACUUUUUUACUAGAGUUUUAUGUGAGAAGGAAGAACUUCUGGAGUAGGGAUAAAAUACGCAAAUACCAGAAGGACUGAUAACGGCGAAGGCGUCCUUCUAUGUAAAAACUGACGUUGAGGGACGAAGGCUCGGGUAGCGAUAAGGAUUAGAUACCCUAGUAGUCCAAGCAGACAAUGAUGAAUGUCAUAGACUAGAUUUAAUAUUUAGUCUAUAAAUGAAAGUGUAAGCAUUCCACCUCAAGAGUAAUAUGGCAACAUAUAAACUGAAAUCAUUAGACCGUUUCUGAAACCAGUAGUGAAGUAUGUUAUUUAAUUCGAUAACCCGCGAAAAACCUUACCACAGUUUGAAUAACAAUUAAAAAAUUGUUACAAGCGCUGCACGGCUGUCUUUAGUUAAUGUCGUGAGAUCUGGUUAACUCCUUUAAUUAACGAAAACCCUCACUUUAUUUAGUUAUAUAAAGUGGUUCGCCGCUACAUAGGAUAUAGAUAAUAGGGAUUAAGACAAGUCAUCAUGGCCUUAAUACUGUGGGCUAUAGACGUGCCACAUACGCCUUAACAAAGGGAUGCGAUAUUGUGAAAUGGAGCUAAUCCCCAAAAUAGGAUAUAAUAUGGAUUGUAGUCUGUAACUCGACUACAUGAAUAAGGAAUUACUAGUAAUCGUGUAUCACCAACGGCACGGUGAAUUUAUUCUCAGCUAGGUACUAACCACUCGUCAGGCGCUGAAAGAAGUAUGUGCAAUAAGUUUGAUUUGCUUAUGUAUUAAUAUAUAUAAUCAGGUAUAUAAAUAUGUAUGUCUUAUUUUCGUAUGCAUGACUUUGAUUGGUGUUAAGUCGAAAUAAGGUUCGUGUAAUGGAAAUUGCACGGGAUGGAUA
rnacentral:rRNA from 1 species